UACGUAGGGUGCAAGCGUUGUCCGGAAUUAUUGGGCGUAAAGAGCUCGUAGGCGGUUUGUUGCGUCGGCUGUGAAAUCCCGAGGCUCAACCUCGGGUCUGCAGUCGAUACGAGCAAACUAGAGUGUUGCAGGGGAGACUGGAAUUCCUGGUGUAGCGGUGAAAUGCGCAGAUAUCAGGAGGAACACCGGUGGCGAAGGCGGGUCUCUGGGCCAUCACUGACGCUGAGCUGCGAAAGCUAGGGGAGCAAACAGG
rnacentral:rRNA from 1 species